rnacentral:rRNA from 1 species
UACGAAGGGGGCUAGCGUUGUUCGGAAUCACUGGGCGUAAAGCGCACGUAGGCGGAUCUUUAAGUCAGGGGUGAAAUCCCGAGGCUCAACCUCGGAACUGCCUUUGAUACUGGGGAUCUCGAGUCCGGAGAGGUGAGUGGAACUGCGAGUGUAGAGGUGAAAUUCGUAGAUAUUCGCAAGAACACCAGUGGCGAAGGCGACUCACUGGCCCGGAACUGACGCUGACGG